rnacentral:rRNA from 1 species
UACGUAGGGAGCAAGCGUUGUCCGGAAUCAUUGGGCUUGAAGCGCGCGUAGGUGGCUUCGUAAGUCCGUUGUGAAAGUCAAAGGCUCAACCUUUGAAAGCCGAUGGAUACUGUGAAGCUAGAGUACGGAAGAGGCGAGUGGAAUUCCUGGUGUAGCGGUGGAAUGCGUAGAUAUCAAGAGGAACACCGGUGGCGAAGGCGGCCUUCUGGACAGUGACUGACGCUGAGACGCGAAAGCGUGGGGAGCAAACAGG